rnacentral:rRNA from 1 species
GAUGAACGCUAGCUACAGGCUUAACACAUGCAAGUCGAGGGGAAACGACAUCGAAAGCUUGCUUUUGAUGGGCGUCGACCGGCGCACGGGUGAGUAACGCGUAUCCAACCUGCCCAUCACUUGGGAAUAACCUUGCGAAAGUAAGACUAAUACCCAAUGACAUCCCACGAAGACAUCUGAAUGGGAUUAAAGAUUUAUCGGUGAUGGAUGGGGAUGCGUCUGAUUAGCUUGUUGGCGGGGUAACGGCCCACCAAGGCAACGAUCAGUAGGGGUUCUGAGAGGAAGGUCCCCCACAUUGGAACUGAGACACGGUCCAAACUCCUACGGGAGGCAGCAGUGAGGAAUAGUGGUCAAUGGGCGAGAGCCUGAACCAGCCAAGUAGCGUGCAGGAUGACGGCCCUAUGGGUUGUAAACUGCUUUUAUAAGGGAAUAAAGUGGGUCUCGUGAGACUUUUUGCAUGUACCUUAUGAAUAAGGACCGGCUAAUUCCGUG